rnacentral:rRNA from 1 species
UACGGAGGGGGCUAGCGUUGUUCGGAAUUACUGGGCGUAAAGCGCACGUAGGCGGAUUAGUAAGUUAGAGGUGAAAGCCCAGGGCUCAACCCUGGAACUGCCUUUGAUACUGCUAGUCUAGAGAUCGAGAGAGGCGAGUGGAAUUCCGAGUGUAGAGGUGAAAUUCGUAGAUAUUCGGAGGAACACCAGUGGCGAAGGCGGCGAUCUGGGAAGAUACUGACGCUGAGGUGCGAAAGCGUGGGGAGCAAACAGG